GUCCACGCUGUAAACGAUGUCAACUAACCGUUGGGCUUCUUUUAGGAGCUUAGUGGUGGAGCUAACGUAUUAAGUUGACCGCCUGGGGAGUACGGCCGCAAGGUUAAAACUCAAAUGAAUUGACGGGGGCCCGCACAAGCGGUGGAGCAUGUGGUUUAAUUCGAUGCAACGCGAAGAACCUUACCUACCCUUGACAUCCAGAGAAUCUGUUAGAGAUAGUAGAGUGCCUUCGGGAACUCUGAGACAGGUGCUGCAUGGCUGUCGU
rnacentral:rRNA from 1 species